rnacentral:lncRNA from 1 species
UUUAACUCAAGUCAAUAUUCUCUCUCUUCACGUUUUCCCAAUUUUUCUCUCAUUCAUUGUUCAAGAAAAAUUAACUCUUCCAUUUUCUUCCAAAUUGUUUAGGAAAUCUAUCAAUUAAUUCAAGAAAUCUCUCAAUUGUUAAAGGUAAUUUCGAAGUCACCAAAUAUUUUGUGAGUUUUCUUCUGAUUUUGUUUUCAUAUUCACCAAAUAUUUUUGUAUGUAUUUCUGAUUUUCUGUCCUUUUUUAAUUUUUUUUGAGUGUUUACAUAUUUGAGAUUCAGUAGAUUGUAGUAAUCUACAUUAGCAUUCAUACAUCAUAUAUUGCUUGAUUUUUUAUACAUUCAUAUUUAAUAAUUUCAUUUUUUUCUUAUAGGGUUACUAAUGCACAAGUAAAUAUGGAUUCGAAUUUGGAUUUGGUGAAAACAAAAUCGGACAAAAAGGAACAUAGCAGAAG